rnacentral:rRNA from 1 species
GAUGAACGCUGGCGGCGUGCCUAAUACAUGCAAGUCGAGCGAACAGACGAGGAGCUGUCUCCUCUGACUUUAUCGGCGGACGGGUGAUUAACACGUGGAUAACCUACCUAUAAGACUGGGAUAACUUCGGGAAACCGGAUCUAAUACCGGAUAAUAUAUUGAACCGCAUGGUUCAAUAGUUAAAUACGGUUUUGCUUUCACUUAUAGAUUGAUCAGCGCCGCAUUAGCUAGUUGGUAAGGUAACGGCUUAGCAAGGCAACGAUGCGUAGCCGACCUGAGCGGGUGAUCGGAUACCCUGGAACUGAGACACGGCCGAGACUCCUACGGGAGGACGCAGUCGGGAAUCCUACGGAAUGGGGGAAAGCCUGACGGAGCACCGCCGCGUGAGUGCUGAAGGUCUUAGGCUCGUAAAACUCUGUUAUUCGGGAAGAACAAAUGCGUAAGUAACCAUGAACGUAUUGACGGUACCUGAUCAGAAAGCUACGGCUAACUCCGUG